rnacentral:rRNA from 1 species
GUCCCAGUUCGGAUUGCAGGCUGCAACCCGCCUGCAUGAAGUUGGAAUCGCUAGUAAUCGCGGAUCAGCAUGCCGCGGUGAAUACGUUCCCGGGCCUUGUACACACCGCCCGUCACACCAUGAGAGUCGGGAACACCCGAAGUCCGUAGCCUAACCGCAAGGGGGCGCGGCCGAAGGUGGGUUCGAUAAUUGGGGUGAAGUCGUAACAAGGUACC